rnacentral:rRNA from 1 species
AAACCAGCACCUCAAGUGGUCAGGAUGAUUAUUGGGCCUAAAGCAUCCGUAGCCGGCUCUGUAAGUUUUCGGUUAAAUCUGUACGCUCAACGUACAGGCUGCUGGGAAUACUGCAGAGCUAGGGAGUGGGAGAGAUAGACGGUACUCGGGAGGAAGUGGUAAAAUGCUUUGAUCUCUCGAUGACCACCUGUGGCGAAGGCGGUCUAUCAGAACACGUCCGACGGUGAGGGAUGAAAGCUGGGGGAGCAAACCGGAUUAGAAACCCCGGUAGUCC